UAUAUUCUAAUAUAAGAUGUAUAUUAAUUUUUGAUAUUAAAAGUAACAGUUUAAAUCUGUUGAGUAUAU
rnacentral:tRNA from 1 species